ensembl:misc_RNA Metazoa_SRP Metazoan signal recognition particle RNA
GCCGGGCAUGGUGGCGGGUGCCUGUAAUCGCAGCUACUUGUGAGGCUGAGGUAGGAGAAUUGCUUGAACCCAGGAGGUUGAGGUUGCAGUGAGCUGAGAUUGUGCCACUACGCUCCACCGUGGGCAACAGAGUAAGACUGUCUUUUUUUUUUUUUUUUGAGACGGAGUUUCGCUCUUGUUACCCAGGCUGGAGUGCAAUGGCGCGAUCUCGGCUCACCGCAACCUCCUUCUCCUGGGUUCAGGCAAUUCUCCUGCCUCAG